rnacentral:misc_RNA from 1 species
GAGAUAUUAUAUUUGGGCUCUGCCCGCAAACAAUGCACAUGUCAAAGAAGAAGCGGGGGCUGGCUGGUUGGUUGAUUUGGCUGGCUUGGUUGGUUGGUUGAUUGACUUGGCUUGGCUGGCACCCCCAAAACACACUGCCUGAUAUAACUGACUUGGUGGUCGCUGACUUGGUAAAACAAAA